rnacentral:rRNA from 1 species
AGAGUUUGAUCCUGGCUCAGGACAAACGCUGGCGGCGUGCGUAACACAUGCAAGUCGGACGAGGGGGAGCGGCUUUUCGGAGCGGUUCUUUUCGAGUGGCGGACGGGUGCGUAACACGUGGAUAACCUGCCCUGGUGUGGGGGAUACCCUGUAGAAAUACGGGCUAAUACCGCAUACGGUGGCCAUCAGGUGAGCUGGAG